AGAGUUUGAUCCUGGCUCAGAACGAACGCUGGCGGCGUGCCUAACACAUGCAAGUCGAACGAAGGCUCCCCUUCGGGGGAUGUCCUUAAGUGGCGAACGGGUGAGUAACACGUGGGAACCUGCCCCGAAGACUGGGACAACCACGGGAAACUGUGGCUAAUACCAGAUGCCCUCCGCUGAUCGCAUGAUCGGCAGAGGAAAUGCUCCGGCGCUUCGGGAGGGCCUCGCGGCCUAUCAGCUUGUUGGUGGGGUAACGGCUCACCAAGGCAUCGACGGGUAGCUGGUCUGAGAGGACGAUCAGCCACACUGGGACUGAGACACGGCCCAGACUCCUGCGGGAGGCAGCAGUGGGGAAUCUUGCGCAAUGGGCGAAAGCCUGACGCAGCGACGCCGCGUGGGUGAUGAAGGCCUUAGGGUUGUAAAGCCCUUUCAGCAGGGAAGAUGAUGACGGUACCUGCAGAAGAAGCCCCGGCUAACUCCGUGCCAGCAGCCGCGGUAAUACGGAGGGGGCUAGCGUUGUUCGGAAUCACUGGGCGUAAAGCGCGCGUAGGCGGCUGGGAAAGUUGGGAGUGAAAGCCCGGGGCUCAACCCCGGAACUGCUCUCAAAACUUCUUGGCUGGAGACUUGGAGAGGUCAGCGGAAUUCCGAGUGUAGAGGUGAAAUUCGUAGAUAUUCGGAAGAACACCGGUUGCGAAGGCGGCUUACUGGCCAAGUUCUGACGCUGAGGCGCGAAAGCGUGGGGAGCAAACAGGAUUAGAUACCCUGGUAGUCCACUGCUGUAAACGAUGGGUGCUAGACGUUGGAGGGCAUGCUCUUCAGUGUCGCAGCUAACGCAUUAAGCACCCCGCCUGGGAAGUACGGCCGCAAGGUUAAAACUCAAAGGAAUUGACGGGGGCCCGCACAAGCGGUGGAGCAUGUGGUUUAAUUCGACGCAACGCGAAGAACCUUACCAGCUCUUGACAUGCCUGUCGCGGGAUCGAGAGAUCGGUCCCUUCAGUUCGGCUGGACAGUGCACAGGUGCUGCAUGGCUGUCGUCAGCUCGUGUCGUGAGAUGUUGGGUUAAGUCCCGCAACGAGCGCAACCCUCACCUUCAGUUGCCAUCGGUCCGGCUGGGCACUCUGGAGGAACCGCCGGCGACAAGCCGGAGGAAGGCGGGGAUGACGUCAAGUCCUCAUGCCCUUACGGGCUGGGCUACACACGUGCUACAAUGGCGACUACAGCGGGAUGCAAUACGGCAACGUGGAGCCAAUCCCUAACGGUCGUCUCAGUUCGGAUUGUCCUCUGCAACUCGAGGGCAUGAAGUCGGAAUCGCUAGUAAUCGCGUAUCAGCAUGACGCGGUGAAUACGUUCCCGGGCCUUGUACACACCGCCCGUCACACCAUGGGAGUUGGCUUUACCCGAAGCCGGUGCGCUAACCGCAAGGAGGCAGCCGACCACGGUAGGU
rnacentral:rRNA from 1 species